GACCCAGAGAAAUACGCGCUCAUGUUUCCGCAUGCCGAGCAGAGCAAGAAAGAGAGAAUAAUCCAGCAGUAGCUUGUCCAACCUGACCCGGCGCCUUAAGAAGAGGAAGUUUCCUCCACCGAGGUGCACCGAGCAUUGACGUGCUUUCUUCGGAACCCAAUUUGCAUCACGGGCGUCCAGUGGCAGUUUUUGUCGAGUUUUCAACGGACAGUAGCCCAGUCUUGUGGUGGUGCUACACGGGGACCAGAGGGCACAAGUUCCCCCCCCCGCCCCGCCUGCUUAAAUUCGCAAGAAUGUCGCAAAAGGAAAGACCCACUUUCUAUCGUCAGGAGCUCAACAAGACAAUGUGGGAGGUCCCGGAGCGGUACCAGAACCUGUCGCCCGUCGGCUCCGGUGCUUAUGGUUCGGUUUGUUCAGCGUUUGACGUGAAGACGGGCCUGAAGGUAGCAGUGAAGAAGUUGUCCAGACCCUUCCAGUCCAUCAUCCACGCAAAGAGAACCUACAGAGAGCUCCGGCUGCUUAAACACAUGAAGCACGAAAAUGUGAUUGGUCUCUUAGAUGUGUUCACACCAGCGACGAGCUUAGAGGAGUUCAGUGACGUCUACUUGGUGACACAUUUAAUGGGAGCAGACCUCAACAACAUUGUAAAGUGUCAGAAGCUGACUGAUGACCACGUCCAAUUCCUCAUCUACCAGAUUCUCCGAGGUCUAAAGUACAUCCAUUCUGCAGACAUCAUCCACCGAGACUUAAAGCCCAGUAAUCUGGCGGUAAAUGAAGACUGUGAGCUGAAGAUCCUGGAUUUUGGUUUGGCCCGGCAUACAGAUGAUGAAAUGACUGGCUAUGUGGCCACUCGGUGGUACCGAGCUCCAGAAAUCAUGCUUAAUUGGAUGCACUACAACAUGACAGUGGACAUCUGGUCGGUGGGAUGCAUCAUGGCUGAACUUCUCACUGGACGGACGCUGUUCCCUGGCACCGACCACAUUGAUCAGUUGAAGCUUAUAAUGCUGCUUGUUGGAACCCCCGGGCCUGAGCUCUCGAUGAAAAUCUCCUCGGACUCUGCAAGGAACUACAUCAACUCACUCCCCCAUAUGCCCAAGAGAAACUUUGCGGAUGUAUUCAUUGGUGCCAACCCUCUUGCUGUUGACCUGCUGGAGAAGAUGCUGGUGCUGGACACAGACAAGCGCAUCACGGCCUCUGAGGCGCUGGCUCACCCUUACUUUGCUCAGUAUCAUGAUCCAGACGACGAGCCCGAAGCAGAGCCUUACGACCAGAGCUUUGAAAGCCGUGAGCUGGAAAUCGAGGAGUGGAAGAGGUUAACAUACGAGGAGGUUCUCAGCUUUGAGCCUCCAUCCUUCGACAGGGAUGAGAUGGAAUCAUGAGGAGGAGGAGUUUCCUCUUAGAAGAAACAUUCUUUACGGGAAAAAAAACAAACUGUCUCAUAUGACUCGCCCCCUACUCUCCACACGCCCUCACCACCACAACGCUCAAGUGCCUGCCAUCUUUAAAUCUCUGAAGGGGGUAAUGUUGCAUUUUCAGGGACAAAACUUGUGUUCCACCCAUCUCUCAUACUGCUGUUUUCUGCUGACACUUUUGAUGAGAUCCCCCCCCUCCCCAAAUUUGCAUUGUAUUCUUUAUAUCGUGUUAAUAUCUGAAGGGGAAUUGAAGCAACUGCUGCUAUGUAGUUGCCAAUAAAAAUAAUACCUAGCAGUGACUAAAUCAACAAGCAGAAAUGAAACAUUUUUGAAUGUUUCUAAAAUAUAGAAUCUUUCACACAUUAUUGUUGUGUAUAGAAGGGUUUGAGAAUGACAAUAAAUGCAGUGUUUGUAUAGACUUACCAUUGCCAGGCCAGUAACCAUAUUGGACCCACAUUAUGAAUGCUGCCAUGUGGCAUAAAACUAAGAUUAGUAAUUUAAUAAAUGAAAGUAUGUAUAAGGCACAUCUCAAGACAGUAUAUGUGACAUAUCCACCUUGUGGCAUAGAUUUAAGACUUUGUUUAUAUUAUUGAAAGAAAGUCGGGGUUCUGUCUCUGAGAACCAUGUGAUGUUUGUUUUAGCUUCUACACACCUUCUUUCCACGCUAUGUCUUGGUCGCACUUUGUUUCGGAACAGUGUUUCAACGUAAUCUCGCACCCUGCAGGACCACUUUGGCACGGUAAGGCCCAGAUUUGCUUUUAAACGUUGAUGUUAUCCAUCAGCUGACAAUGUACUUUUUAUCAUAUUGUAUUUCUAAACCACAGUCCUAUAAGUGUUUCUUGAAUAUUUUAGGGUCAUUGGGGCUGCCUCGUAUUUAUGAUCUGUUGUCAUGUUUAUAUAUGGAUGUUUAAAGUAUGUUAUUUGUAAAAAAAAAAAAAAAAAAAAAAAAAACAACAAAAAAAAGUAUAAGGCCAGUUUAUUUAUGGAGAGCUAGUUUUGGCCAGACACCAAAUGUAUUCUCUUGAUUUCAUUCAACAUCAAAGUCAGUGAUGACUGCAGUUACGUCAUAUAUAUCCGAGCCAAUGAGGAAACGAAGACAAUUUAGUUCAGUUCAAUUGUGUUGCUAGAAGGCGCUGCCCCUGCAAAGCAUUGUGUUUUCACACAAUGUCAAUAGAAAUAUCGAAUCACGCUACGUUAUUUGCCAAAAAUCUGCGACAUUUCGGCAGUAGUGCGAGUUAUUUUAGGAGUCCAUUCAUCAUGAGACGUACACACCCGGUCAGUAGUUCCAUUGGCAUUGGUUUUCGUGUAGUGUAAUAUUUUAAUUAUUUUUGUGUUAAAUCAAAAUCUGAUAUUUUGUGAUUUUUGUCUUCUAUGAUGAAUGCUAGAACCACAGCUGCCAUGUAUUUGAAUAAUAUAGAAGGGCACAUUUUUAUGGGAAAAUGUAUUUACUCACUGGAUGCUGAAACCUCAUACUUGUACAGUACAUUGAUUUGAUUAGGAUAUUGAUCCUGUUCAUAAGUUCACAUUUAAUUUGGGUAUUGGCUGUUGGCUCUCAUCUUUUGAGGUCUUUUUACUCUGGUUACUAUAUGGCUACCUGUAAAAUAUCACCCUAAGAAAAUAAAGGCUAUUUUUCAAACUGGUAAAAUUCGACCAUUUGUUGUGGCACAUUUUGACAGUAUUCCAAUUAAGCCACAGGGCCACAAGGUGGUCUACUGGUUAGCAUGUCAGCCUCACGGACAGGAGAUCGAAGGCUUGAAUCUGUUGAAACAUCUCUGUAGAGUUCGCAUGUUCUCUCUGUGCAUCCCACAUUCCAAAAACAUGCAGGUUAGGUUAACUGGAGAUUCUAAAUUGUCCAUGUCUUAGUAUGGAUUUUUAGGUUCAUCCUGAAAUUUCACCCAAAAGCUGAAUAUCCUUGACUAUUUGUGAGUCGUGUAAUUGUCUGGUGGCCAGUUCAGGGUGUAUCCUGCCUUUCGCCCAGUCAACUGGGAUAGGCCCCAACUCACCUUAAUGAGGACACGCUGUAUAGAAAAUGGAUGGUAUUAGGCCACAAAUAAGUACAUGUGUAAAAAGAAUCCUGCUACCACUAGAGGGCAGAGUUACACAAUCGUGUUAAUCUUGGCAACACUUUUGUAAUUCACUUUUUAAUUUAUCUUUUACGCUAUACAAAAAACUAUCAAUAUAGUACAUGUAUGUACAGCUGUUAAUUGCUAAUUUAAAAUUAAAAUAAUUUCAAAACUUAAUUCAUAGUCAUGCAAGGAUUCUAACUACAACAAUGCAGGUGAAGUGACUUUUGACGUAAAUGUAGUAUUAAUCAUCAUUUUGUUAUAGAUGUUCUUUUAGCCGCUUAGCAAAGAACCAAACUUUCUUGUAAAUAUACAAACAUGACGAGCUCAAUUACCCCUCAACCCGGUAAGACAGAACAUAAACUGGUUGCAAACACCUUGAUUCAAGUAACACAUAUUAGCGGUAAAAUGCUGUAACACACACAAUCGAAACGUGUGCUCCAUGCAAAUAGCCAAGCAACAGUUGACAGCUUGUCUAGGCACUUCAUUACAAUGUUUUGGUAUUUCCAACGUUUCUUGAACGCAACUCUCUGACUGGGUACAGCUGUGGACUGCGGUGGACAGACCGGAGUUCUGGUAUUUCCAACAUCUCUUGAACAUACCUCUGACUGUGUGGUUUGCCGCGAUGGAAAGAAAAGUACUCGCUUUGCAGGCGAGGAAGAAGAGGACAAAGCCGCGGAAACCUGGCAAAAAUGAGUGAGGAGAUUUUUGAACACCUGCCCUAUUCUCAUCCACUGUCCGGUCCCCUUUCCUGCAUCACGUCCCAUGGGCAUCCGUGCAUCCUGUAGACCAGAGCCACAGGGUUGUGGUGGUGGUUCCAAGCCAAGUCAGGCAGACUCACCUGGCCCGGAUCAGGAAGAGGAGAUCCUUGGCUCUGACGAUGAUGAGCAGGAGGACCCUGGUGACUACUGCAAGGGUGGCUAUCACCAUGUGAAG